rnacentral:rRNA from 1 species
AACGAACGCUGGCGGCGCGCCUAAUACAUGCAAGUCGAGCGAGAAGGUGUAGCAAUACACUUGUAAAGCGGCGAACGGGUGAGGAAUACAUGGGUGACCUACCAUUGAGUGGGGAAUAACCAGCCGAAAGGCUGGCUAAUACCGCGUACGCUUCCGGAUUUUCGAGUUCGGAAGGAAAGCGAUACCGUGGGUAUCGCGCUCUUUGAUGGGCUCAUGUCCUAUCAGCUUGNGGUAGGGUAACGGCCUACCAAGGCUUUGACGGGUAGCUGGUCUGAGAGGACGAUCAGCCACACUGGGACUGAGACACGGCCCAGACUCCUACGGGAGGCAGCAGUGGGGAAUCUUGCGCAAUGGGCGAAAGCCUGACGCAGCAACGCCGCGUGGGGGA